AAAAUCUCAAUUUUCCUUAAUUGCCGCCAAAGAAAAAAAAAAGAAUUUGGGUUUAACUUUGUGAAAUCUGUGAAACCGCCAAAGACCAAAAGAAAAAAAAGAAGGAAAAAGUUAGAAAAAGUCGUAUUACAAAACUUCCUUCCUCCCAAAUAGAGGCAACUAUUCAUCCUUGGGUUUAAUUUAUCAGAAAAUCGCCGUCUCGAUCCCAAGUUCCAUCGAAUGCGCACUUUCAAAUUCAGGUUUCAUCGAAUUCGCGAUUCCAAUUUUCUGGUCUUAAUCGUCGUCUCCAUCGUGGUGUUGAUCGGGAUUUAUCGAAUUCGCAGGCUUCCAAUUGUAGAUAUUUCGAAUGUCUUCACCUUGAAUUGGGUAUUUCGAACUUCUUCACCUUGGAUUGAGUAUUCGAGAAGGAAUGCGGCUUGUGGUUUGCUCACUGGAUUGACUCGUGUUAGGAGAUUCCAGCAGGUGACAUAUGAAGUCAGGGUUGGACUAGAUUUUAUCAACUACGUGUAUGACAAAUUUGGGUUUACGUUCGAGCUAAAGCUGUAAAUCGUAUGAGAAUACUCUCUUACUUCCUUUUUAGUACUUGCUUUCAUUAGUAUUAGUAUCUGAAACAAUGUUUUUUAAGAUGAUAUCCUAUUUCAAUCCUUUUGAGUUUUGUUUUUAUGUAAUGUUUGGUGAAUCUGGUUGUUUCUCUACUUAAUGCCUUUAACUACACGUGAUACACCUUUUCUCAAAUUACCAAAAUCUGAAAGGAAAGGGGGUGGAAGGGAUGUUUACCACGUUUAUAUGAUAAUUAUCACUGAUGUUGACCCUAUAAAAUUGCUGGUAUUGUUUGAGACCUUUGAGUAUAUAUACUUUUUGAAUGUGUGAUUGAUUCCCUCUUGUAGGAGGCAAGCAGGUAAUGUUUUCUUUGUAUAAAAAUCUACUAUGAGUAUUUCUGUGUUGAUAACCUUUGGUGCCCGUUUGCUAAAUAAGAAAUUACAGUAGGUCCUUUCUUGAUAAGUAUGUCCUGCUAGUCUGCUACCCUGCAGUCAGUUAUAUUCUUCUUUUUCUUCCUGUGAGUCUGCGACCUGUGGAAAAAUUGGCAGUGAGUUUGGGCUCUUUAGCUAAUGUUGAACUGUUUUGUGCCUUUUUUAAUCUCUUUUUGAACAAGCAUAUAUCGCUCCCCGUUUUUUCUAGAGUAUGCGACGAAUGCAGAUGACAAAAUAUAUGAGGAGUGGCUUUUUAACAAGCAAUCUGAUUAAUCCACUGACAUCUUGUCAAGAUAAUUAAAGGGUAUGUUGAUAAUAUUUUAGUGCAGGAUAUAUGGAAAGACAUAUAUAAGCCGUUUUAUGAAAUAAGGAACUAAGACCUACAAAAAACAAGCUUAAGUGUCUGGCAGUAACGAGAUGGGUAAGAGCACAGUCUUAUCGGCUUAAAUUUGUAAACCCCAAUGGCAUUACACCACACCAGCUGGUAGUAUGUGUCAUGAUGUCUGGAUGUAUGUCAUUAUGCCAAAACCUUAAGGACAAUAGCUCCUAGCUGUCUGAAUGGUUAUCAAGAUGAGAAAAUAGCUUUUAGAGACAAAACCUUAAGGACAGAAAUGGGUAACCAAUGAAAGAAGGUUCAAGAUGUUAAGGCAUAUGAAUAAUCUGUAUAUUUUCUUGAGUUGUCUUUGUUAAUCUUUUUAUUUAUUUUUUUGACAUAAGCUAAUACAAACAACUAAGGAAAAUGACAAAAAGAAAAAAGAGAGGUUGAAGCAGCCUUUGCCAGCACGUGAGCCUGCUCAACCCUUGAUCUAUCCACCUUGUUAAUGCAGCACCAGAGAAAGGAUUUCCCGAUGUUUUUAAUUUCAGCAAUUGUCCAGAUGAGUUGAAUGUCCAUGAUGUCUGGCGAUCGAAGAAUUUCCACAAGACAUUGGGAAUCCGUGAAAACUGUAAUUCUCCUUAGCCCGGCUUGAGAAGCCCAACGCAAACUUAAGAGACAAGCUAAAACCUCAGUGUGGAGUGCUGAAAAUGCCGUUCCAUGUUGCGCCCCCCCUAUAAUUCGAUCAGUAGAACUUUGAUCCCUAUCCAAACACCAACCCAUACCUGAAUUCUUUGAAUUCUUAAACCAGGAGCCAUCGACCACUAUAAUCGAAAUAGGAUCUUGUGUUUCUAACCCAGUCAAAAUAACUCUAGAGAAACCCGGUGGGUAGGUAGGAUCCCCCUCCGGAGGAUGUAGAAACCCUAAAUGGAGAGACUGGUUUUUAAGCAGAAUUGCAUGCUGGUCCAACCCUAUUUGUAUAAGGUUAAUAACUGCUGAGGUAUUAGAAACUUCACCCCUGAAUACUCUUUUGUUCCUAACCAACCAUAAGCUCCAAAGAGUACUUAUGAAAUAAACCAUCCUUGGACUAUGGAUACCAUCCUGACGAUGAAAUAGUCGGAUAUAAAACAGAAACCAUUCUUGAAAAGACAUAGUUUCGUUGAUAUUUGAAUGGAUAGCAAGUGACCCAUGCCUCCAAACAUCACGCGCAAUGUAGCAAAAACGAAAAAGAUGUUGAGAAUCUUCAUCUUCUAAGCUACACACCUCACACCUCGAAGACAGUUGGACUCCUCUCCUUUCAAGGUUUGCCUUAGUGGCAACACCAUUGUGAAGUAGCUUCCAUAUGAACAGCUUCCAUUUAGGGAGAAGUUUCAUAGACCAUAAGAGUUUAAAAAACUUAACCUCUGAAUUAAGCCAGCUUCUGUUGAUCUUUGUUAAUCUAAGCUUAUUGUUUCUGUUGUUAUAUAUUCACAAAUUUGAUAUAACCAUAGACGAGAUGAUUUGUUGCCUUCUUUUCAGGUUUUAUGCUCAGCACUUACUGUAAAUUCCUGGACUAGAUAAAGAAACAGGAAAUAAACUGCCUUUGUGACAUUGAUGACAUUUGAUAAAUGUUGCUUAUUUUAGAUUUUGCUUGAUAUGUUGGUUUUUAAUUUGUACCCAAGUAUUGGUUGAAAUUCAUAAGCAGACCUAUUGUUUACAGGAGCUUCUCAAAUACCCAAGUGUUGGUUGAAAGUCAUAAGAAGAUCUAUUUGUUCAUUGAGUCAGGUCAAGGUGUCAGAGAAUGAAAGACUUAACGCAAAAAAGGAUAUAAGAUAAUUUACUUUUAAGAAUUUUAUUUUUUUGCUUUUCUUUAUUAUGGAUAUUAGAUCAUACUAAUUUUAUACUUUUUAUAGGAUCAAGAUGAUGGAGUGGAUCUGAUAGGAAAUGAAGAUUGAGUUGACAUUGAGAAUCAUGCGCAUAUAAGGGAAAACAGAUGAAGAUGAAAACAUAGAAGACAAUGAGUUUUGGAUUUACAUUUUAUUUUUAUAUACAACCAGUUGGUUUUAUUUUGAACUAAUGUAAUUUUCAUAGACCGUACAUCAAAUACAUUAGAAUGUUAGAUUAACCUUCAAAAUGACAUUUCCAUAUUCGUGUAACUAACAAUUUCGGAUUACUAUUAUUGUCACUAUUCUUCUUUUUAUGGUUAAUAAUUUUUUUUUCUUAUAAUAACUUUACCAUUGUUACUAUGCACUUAUAGUUAUUGUAUUUAAUAUAUUAUAAUGAUUUAUUAUAAAUAUUAUUAUUAUUUGUGAA